GAUGAACGCUAGCUACAGGCUUAACACAUGCAAGUCGAGGGGUAACAAGAGAAAAGCUUGCUUUUCUUGUUGACGGCCGGCGCACGGGUGAGUAACGCGUAUCCAACCUGCCUAUAACUAGGGAAUAACCUUGCGAAAGUAAGACUAAUACCCUAUGAUUUCCUUUGAUGACAUCAGAUUAGGACUAAAGAUUUAUCGGUUAUAGAUGGGGAUGCGUCUGAUUAGCUUGUUGGCGGGGUAACGGCCCACCAAGGCAACGAUCAGUAGGGGUUCUGAGAGGAAGGUCCCCCACAUUGGAACUGAGACACGGUCCAAACUCCUACGGGAGGCAGCAGUGAGGAAUAUUGGUCAAUGGGCGGAAGCCUGAACCAGCCAAGUAGCGUGCAGGAUGACGGCCCUAUGGGUUGUAAACUGCUUUUAUACAGGAAUAAAGUUAGCCACGUGUGGUUAUUUGUAGGUACUGUAUGGAUAAGGGCCGGCUAAUUCCGUGCCAGCAGCCGCCGUAG
rnacentral:rRNA from 1 species